GGGUGGUAAUGCCGGAUGUUCCAGUUGAUCGCAUGGUCUUCUGGGAAAGCUUUCGCGGUAUGGGAUGGGGUCGCGUCCUAUCAGCUUGACGGCGGGGUAACGGCCCACCGUGGCUUCGACGGGUAGCCGGCCUGAGAGGGCGACCGGCCACAUUGGGACUGAGAUACGGCCCAGACUCCUACGGGAGGCAGCAGUGGGGAAUAUUGCACAAUGGGCGCAAGCCUGAUGCAGCGACGCCGCGUGAGGGAUGGAGGCCUUCGGGUUGUAAACCUCUUUUAUCGGGGAGCAAGCGAGAGUGAGUUUACCCGUUGAAUAAGCACCGGCUAACUACGUGCCAGCAGCCGCGGUAAUACGUAGGGUGCAAGCGUUAUCCGGAAUUAUUGGGCGUAAAGGGCUCGUAGGCGGUUCGUCGCGUCCGGUGUGAAAGUCCAUCGCUUAACGGUGGAUCCGCGCCGGGUACGGGCGGGCUUGAGUGCGGUAGGGGAGACUGGAAUUCCCGGUGUAACGGUGGAAUGUGUAGAUAUC
rnacentral:rRNA from 1 species